rnacentral:rRNA from 1 species
CCCUUAGAUGUUCUGGGCCGCACGCGCGCUACACUGACUGGUGCAACAAGUGUCUGACCUUGGCUCGAGAGGCCUGGGCAACCUUUGAACGCCAGUCGUGCUGGGGAUAGAUUCUUGCAAUUAUUAAUCUUCAACGAGGAAUUCCUAGUAAACGCAAGUCAUCAGCUUGCAUUGAUUACGUCCCUGCCCUUUGUACACACCGCCCGUCGCACCUACCGAUUGAAUGGUCCGGUGAAAUCUCGGGACGGCGGCUUGGUCGCUUGCGUCCGACUGCUGAAACUUGAUUAAACCAUAUCAUUUAGAGGAAGGUGAANUCGUANCA